rnacentral:rRNA from 1 species
UACGGGGGGGGUAAGCGUUGUUCGGAAUUACUGGGCGUAAAGGGCUCGUAGGCGGCCAACUAAGUCAGACGUGAAAUCCCUCAGCUUAACUGGGGAACUGCGUCUGAUACUGGAUGGCUUGGAUUCGGGAGAGGAAUGCGGAAUUCCAGGUGUAGCGGUGAAAUGCGCAGAUAUCAGGAGGAACACCAAUGGCGAAGGCAGCUCGCUGGGACGGUACUGACGCUGAGACGCGAAAGCGUGGGGAGCAAACAGG